rnacentral:lncRNA from 1 species
GCACGGCUGUGUCAUGAUUUGCGAAAUCUGUGCUGAAAACAUAGGCAUUGAUGGUGUUUGAGUAAUUCCAUCUGUGAAGCUCAACAUUAGCUCGUCAGUUGGUGGUGGACAGUUAUAAAUCCUUUCUGCAGGAUGAAUGACUUUUCAGGAAAACCAAUUUCACAAAUCAAAACUUUCCUCUAGAUUUCUCCUACAAUAUUCAUCCAGUUUAGUUCUUUUGGUUUAACGGGACACCGUCCUGAUUUUUAUUUUUGCAAACCAUUCAGUCUCUUGCUUGCAAAUGGUGCAUGAAAAUAGGCUGGGAAUGGCAGUAGACAAGUCUCUUUAAGGUGGGUUUGUGCCCUGAAAAAAA